AACGAACGCUGGCGGCAGGCCUAACACAUGCAAGUCGAACGAACCUUUCGGGGUUAGUGGCGGACGGGUGAGUAACACGUGGGAACGUGCCUUUAGGUUCGGAAUAGCUCAGGGAAACUUGUGCUAAUACCGAAUGUGCCCUUCGGGGGAAAGAUUUAUCGCAUUUAGAGCGGCCCGCGUCUGAUUAGCUAGUUGGUUGAGGUAAUGGCUCACCAAGGCGACGAUCAGUAGCUGGUCUGAGAGGAUGAUCAGCCACACUGGGACUGAGACACGGCCCAAACUCCUACGGGAGGCAGCAGUGGGGAAUCUUGCGCAAUGGGCGAAAGCCUGACGCAGCCAUGCCGCGUGAAUGAUGAAGGUCUUAGGGUUGUAAAAUUCUUUCACCUGGGACGAUAAUGACGGUACCCGGAGAAGAAGCCCCGGCUAACUACGUG
rnacentral:rRNA from 1 species